rnacentral:rRNA from 1 species
CCUACGGGUGGCAGCAGUGAGGAAUAUUGGUCAAUGGGCGCGAGCCUGAACCAGCCAAGUCGCGUGAGGGAAGACGGUCCUAUGGAUUGUAAACCUCUUUUGUCGGGGAGCAAAAGACGCCACUCGCGGCGUUCCGAGCGUACCCUAAGAACAAGCAUCGGCUAACUCCGUGCCAGCAGCCGCGGUAAUACGGAGGAUGCGAGCGUUAUCCGGAUUUAUUGGGUUUAUGGGGUGCUCAGGCGGAAGAUCAAGUCAGCGGUAAAAUUGAGAGGCUCAACCUCUUCGAGCCGUUGAAACUGGUGGUCUUGAGUGAGGGAGAAGUAAGCGGAAUGCGUGGUGUAGCGGUGAAAUGCGUAGAUAUCACGCAGAACUCCGAUUGCGAAGGCAGCAUACCGGAGCGCAACUGACGCUCAUGCACGAAAGUGUGGGUAUCGAACAGGAUUAGAUACCCGAGUAGUC